rnacentral:lncRNA from 1 species
CCCGAUCCUUCUACGACAUGUUCGAGAAGGGUCAGAUCAGCGUCAUUCUCGAAGAGCAAUUGGGUGCAGCCUUGCAAGGGCGCAUCAGGCUGGGCCUCCUCUAUUUCCGGUGAGUUCAUCCUAUUUUUUUUCUCCUUCACUAGCAUUCAUUUUUAUGUAGUUAUUUCAUUUAUCCAUGACAUCGACCAUCCUCUGUUUUAGUUAUGAAGUAAUAACAAAUGUGUCGUGCAAUGCCUGUAGGAAAGAGUUUAUAUUAGUUGUUCCAGUCUUUGCCUAUACCUUUAUGGCGAGUAGGCUUAACUCUUUCGAACUGUAAUCUUGUCUUAGGUGGAUUCGUUUUUACAACCAACAGAAAAGAAUUGUGCCUUGGACCAUUUUUUUUNNNNNNNNNNAUAAUCUUGUCUUAGGUGGAUUUGUUUUUACAACCAACAGAAAAGAAUUGUGCCUUGGACCAUUUUUUUUUCUGUAAUUGAGAAAACUUUCAAGCUAUAAUCGUACGGGCUGAUCUGAUACAUUAUUAUUUGGCCCCACCAGAUUAACGGUUCAUAAUUACUGAUUAAUGUGGUAAUUUUUAGAGAGUUCCUAAUUAGUAUAAGUAUAGACUUCAAGAAUUAAUAGGUGCUAGAGGUACUAACAUUUUGUUCUUCUGUUUCCUAGGUUCAGAAAAUAAUGGAGAAGAUCUCAGAAAAAACAAGAACGCAGAUUGCUGCUAAGGGAUAUAUUCUUCAGGAUGGAUUUGUGAUGAGUAAUCUCCCUGUUCCACCGAGCAUGCAGGAACAUCAAGGGUAUGUAGAUAAUAUGCAAAUGAAGUGCN